GACGAACGCUGGCGGCGUGCCUAAUACAUGCAAGUUGAACGCUUCUUUCUUAUCGAACUUCGGUUCACCAAGAAAGAGGAGUAGCGAACGGGUGAGUAACACGUGGGUAACCUGCCCAUCAGCGGGGGAUAACACUUGGAAACAGGUGCUAAUACCGCAUAAUGCUUUUUCUCACAUGAGAGAAAGCUGAAAGGCGCUUUUGCGUCACUGAUGGAUGGACCCGCGGUGCAUUAGCUAGUUGGUAGGGUAACGGCUUACCAAGGCAACGAUGCAUAGCCGACCUGAGAGGGUGAUCGGCCACACUGGGACUGAGACACGGCCCAGACUCCUACGGGAGGCAGCAGUAGGGAAUCUUCGGCAAUGGACGAAAGUCUGACCGAGCAACGCCGCGUGAGUGAAGAAGGUUUUCGGAUCGUAAAACUCUGUUGUUAGAGAAGAGCAAGGAUGAGAAGA
rnacentral:rRNA from 1 species